UGUAAAGCCGAGGUUUGCUUUUUGUAGACUGCAGAUAGAUACCGUGAAACCAGAGCUUUUUUUUGGAAGCUUUUCUUUUAAAUCGGACACCAUGUUUUCGGAGCGUUCUCUUAAGGCUUGCCACGGUUCAGUUGGCAAUCUCAGGAGACGAUCCAAGAAGGGGGAGCGGAUAUACGUUAACCGAGGUGGGGACGUCCCCGUGUGAGGCUGAGGCUGCGGCUGCAUGGAGACUUUGCCGUAAAGGAACGAGAAGGCUGGAUUUGUGAUGAGGGAGGGACUACGACAGCAGAACACCAUCUUCGGCGAGAAGAUCAGCGGUGCUGAUGUGACAUGAUGGUGAUGAAAGCGACGGACGGUGGCAUUCAAGUACUGAAGCAGACAGUUUCUUGGAGUCACGAAAACCUAACAAAACCUGGGGACUAAUCCAAGCUGGAAACAUAAAUGUGGAAGAGCUGUUUACAUGCUUUUAACCAAGUUCUGUGUCCUCUGUUUGUUAUAAUUUAAUCUGUGGGUUACACGGCCCAUUUCCCCUGUUGAGGAAUUUGAAUUCCUGUGCAUAAUAUGGAUAUACAAAUGUGGUAUUAGACAAUUAAAAGAAGCAGUGCUGACACUUAGCAUCAUUUCAUUAUCAAGAUGUGUCAUAGAAACAAAAAAGGCCUAAUGGAUGGGAGAAUGUGGAAUCGGCAGUAGGGUAAUGGUUAUGGUUUGUAUGGAGAGCAAAUGAGGUGAGUCCAUAAACUCACAUGCAUUGUUCCUCAGACCUCUGUUUACAACCACACAUUUUAUAAAGGGUUGGGAUUUGAAACACAUUCUUAGAAUCAACUUGUGCAACCUCAGACUGGUUCCCUGUUUAUUGCCCUGUUCCCUUUGAGAUUUGUAUCAUUUUUGUGUGCUUUCCCUAAAAGGUGGGUUAGAAUCAAAUACAUGUAUUUUAAGCCGAGAUAACAUCAUGUGCAUUGUUUGCAAAGCAAAUGGCAAAAAAUAUAUAUUUUUGAUGGAUAUUUCACAGACAUUUUGUGUCAAGAGAAAUAUGUUUUACAGCUUGUUUUGAGCUGAAAUUGGCGCUGCAAUGUGGGGUAUCAGUAGUAAUGUAACAUUCUUUUGUCUAUUGUCUCUUUUUGUUUCUGCAAGUAUAUUAUAAAUGUAUUACUGAUCAUUUUUGGGUGAAGAAUGAUGACGCAAUCACCAUAUUGAGUCCUUUUGCCUGAUUUGUUGGCUGAAUGCUGUAGAGAUUAGGUUCAUAAGGUUUAGUGAAGGGGCAAUUCACCCCCAACAAAGCUACUGUAUUCCAGAAAGGAAAUGUACAUUAAUAUUCAGGAUCUUUGCUCACCGGAGUCCCAUACAGGAAUCUGUUUCUGAUUACAAGGGACCAAUGCAAUGCUUAUAGCUCCUGCUGUUGAGGCGCAUGGGGCAGGAAACCUUAGGACCUAUUAGUGGUUUCUUAAGGCCUGCAAUCUCUUAUUAGAAUUGGCGCCGCUCCCUGAAAAAAGCAUGCUUCUUUCUUUGGUUGACGUAGCCUCGCACUCUAAGGCAGCUGGCACAAGUAAACUUUCACACUCCUCUCAUUGAACUACAGUUCAUAUUCACUUACAGAUUUACAUCUUCCCUGCCCUGCCCCUGAACAUUUGGGGAAAAGGUACUGCUUUCGAAUUUGUCAAAAUGACAUUUUUAUUGCUCCUGUGGUUAUUGUAUUUUAGAGUUUCGGUUUCAUAAAAAUGUCGUUUAUCUCUGCAAUAUUAGCAUUAUCAUCAUUGCAAUUUUGAGUUAGGAGAAAAAUGACCUUGGUGGGGAAAAAAAAUGCGGUAUACAAAUACUAGACAAAAACACACUUUAGCCUGGCACAAGAACAUACAGCUGGCUUAUGAGCUAACCUCGGGAGAUAGAUGUGGUUAUUGCAUCAACAUCCCAGUGUCCUAUUCAGCUUCUUCAUAUCACAGUAAGGCGAAUAACAAUCAUUUAUCGCUGUUCUAUUGCUGUGUGGCAGGUAACUGGUUUAGUCCAAUACCUUCUCAGCUACCUUCUUUGUACUUCUAGUUUUUCCCCAUGAAAACAUGCUGAGCCUGCUUUAUUCAAAGCAUUUUACUGUCAGUGUGACACUAUGACAUUCCUGCAUAUAAAAAUAUAGUCCCAUUUUCCAGUUUUCU